GUUUCUGUAGUGUAGCGGUUAUCACAUUCGCCUCAAACGCGAAAGGUCCACGUUUCGAAAACGUGCAGAGACA